rnacentral:lncRNA from 1 species
UACAAAAACUCUACUGAGUAUGGAAACUGAAAGGUGCAAAGAACACUGGAGUUGAGAAAGAAAAAAAAUAUUUAGAAAGGUAUUAUCCACUGAAAGGUUCAACGUUAGUAACUCAGAAUUAAUCAAACUGUAGAAAGGAUUUGUUGGUUAUGUAAAAUGAUUUUUGAUGAUGUUCCUUACUUACAACAUAAAAUAACGGCUGCUAAUUGCUAGUAUUAUGUCAUUGAAAGUAAUUCGAUACGUGGAAAUAAGGUGCUCAUGAAGGUGGAGGAAGGCGAAGACUUCAAGGAACUGAUUAAAGAUGCAUAUUUACAAGGCAAACAUGGUUAGUACAACUCAUGAUAGAUAUUGAUGUAGAUUUUCUAUUACUAAUGACUAAGAUUAUUAUGAUUAGGAUUACCAAAUACUGAAAAUAGUUAGAUGAAUAUGUUGCACCAUAUUUACAAUUAUGUAGUACUAGAUUUCUUUCCCCCCAAUCUUUAAUAAUUAUAUACAGCUUUAGAGAUGUUUAUAGGUCUGCAACCGAUUGUUCUGGUUGGGGAAUUUAUUCAUAUAUUAUUAGAUACAAAUAUUUGAAGAGUGCAAUUUAGUAAAAAACAAAUCUAGUACUACAUAAUUGUAAACAAAUAUGCAUCGAACUGAUUUCUGAUUUCAGGCUUUGGUAAUCCUAAUCAUAAUAGUCCUAAAUAUUAUAAUUAAUAAUAGUAAAUAUACUUCAGUAUCUAUCAUUUCACUAUCAUUGUUUUUAAAAUUUAUCAUGUGGCCUAUCAUCAUUAUAAACCAUUAAGUAUAAACUAAAAUGUAAAAACUAAAACCUAACAAUCAGUGUUCACCUUAGGAUUGAAAAUUGACUUUGAUUUUGUAAAACUAAUUCUAAUUAAAAAAAAAACUAAAACAGCCAUAUAUCAUUAUAAACAUUUAUUUUGAAAAUAAGUUGAUGAAAAAUUUAAUGAAAAAUUGGAAACCCCGUAUAAAAGAAGUGCAUCAAGAAAAUCAUUAAGAAUCAGAGACAGGCAGACAGCAAAGCAUAAUAACCAGGAACAUGUUUAAUUUGAUAUAUUCUCCUUGUCUUGGCGUUGGUACCUGAUGAAUAGUACAUUUGGAAUUGCCCUGUGAACAGACCAACGCAUACUGAGAUAAAAACUAAUAGUGUGAGCUUCAGAUUCGACCUGAGUCAGUACCGGGAAAAAAUAGGAAACAAAACACACAUGAAGGCAUGAACAAAUUGUAGAGAUGUAUGGAACCAAUGAAGGAAUUAACAAAAUAAUUGUUACAACUACAACAAUGGUAAACAAGCCUGUAAAAUCCAGUAAUAUGUAUUUUUUCUAUGGGGUUGGGUGUAGCUAAGUCUACAUGAACAUAAAAAAUUUCCAUAGACGAUACUCUGUAAAAUAAUCUUUUACCCAUCCCAUGAACUGCUAAUUUGAAAUUUUAUUCUAUGUUUACAUUAUUGAUCUACGACUAUGAUUCUUAUUGACUUCCUCUGGAAGGGCACCUAUAGCACAAGAUUUCAAAACAAGACACAAUAAAACGCACCUCAUAUACAACAAACUAAUAUCUUCUACAGAUUAUGGACUCUUCUUUGGAUUACAGCGUUGUGCAGAGCGAUUCCUUUUGCCUUUUCGUGAGCCAGCAAUGGUAGCUAUUACAGAGUUGCCAUCAAUUAGUAAAGCAGUUGAACCCAUAAGCUUCAAUCCGAGGCUUUUUGUCAAAAACGACAACCUAUUUUCAUCUCCUCCUGUAAUUUCCUGCAUUUGAUGCGCCUGUCCGCGGGAUAUAAUAGUGUAAAGCUGCAAAGGAAACCUUGUGGUGUCUGGAUAGCAGUAUAAUAGCUCCUUGUAAAUUUCUUCAGUACCACCAAAAGUAAUUUGCAGAAUCCCCCUUGACUCCGGAUCUUCCGACCACAGAUCAAAUAUGAAAGCAAAUCUCCCGAAUUCCAAAUCAGGCAUCUUGAACAAAUUAACCAGGGUAGCAUUGACUUGUCCUAUAUUCUUAGGCAGGGACUUCUUAGGAUAAUUUUGCGGAACACGGGUUAACUGGUAUAUGCACGAAGCUUCUCUCAAGCCACUCAUGAAAGCACCAUGCAUAGUGGCUGGAUAUUGCCUACAAGUGGCCUCACCUGCAAAGAACAGUCGGUUCCCCACAUUUUCUGCAAGUAUAUCAUAAUCCCUACCAGAUGAUUGCACACUAACAUGAGAGUAUGAACCAUAAGAAAGGGGAUCGCUGCCCCAUCUGGUACAAAUUGUCUGUAUUGGAUCAGGCACAGUGAUGCCUUUAGGUUGAAAAAUACCUGUAGAAAAAUAUGUAAUCAAAUCAUAAAUUAGCAAGCAAAUUUUUUGAACAGUGAAUCCUAUCAAAUCAGAAGAUUAAUCAGAAUAACAUAAUAGCUUGAGAUAUAUACCAACAAAACCCCCCAAACCCACCUCUAUUAACAUUAUUUUUAAGGGUAAUUUGGGGUUUAUACCCAAAAGCACGCCACAGGCUGUGAUUUUUAUUGCACGCGACAGCCAUGACACUUACACACAACACCACAACUCUAGAAUCUCUAGAUAGCAGCCACUUGCUGUGACACUACAAUAGUGCCACUAUCACACAAUAUUUGUAACCUACGGAUCACCUUUAUUUCUUUCUUUCCACCUUUCCAUUUUGCAACCAAACAAUGAUAAACUUCCUUUUCUUCUCCCUUUACUCUUUUUUUUCCAUGGAACCAAACAUAAUCUUGAACAAUUUCAGCUUAUUUAGGUUUACAAUCUCUUCGAUGAGAAAUAUUGAAUGAAAAACAAGCAAAUAAUUAUUAAUAAUGAGCCGCUAAAUCAUGUAAUUAAUAUUGAUGAUAUGAAAUCUAGCCAAUGCAUGCAUGCAAAAUACUUCAAAGCAAUAUGAGAUUCAUUCACAUGUUAAACAAGCAGCAGAUAAGCCAAAACAUAUCAAAUCAUACAAUUAAAAUAGGAAAUCAUGCAACUCUAACAAGAAACACGUAAAACAAGGAAAAACUGCAAAGGAAACACCGAUAAUAUUUAAUGAGCAAACACAAUAGAUAAUGGCAUUUUUUUCAUUAGUAAGUAAAAAAGUAAGUGUGAGAUACCUUUUAGAGUGGUCAAAACCCGAUGAAGCAAGAUGGAUGGAUCUGUACUUUCAAAGGUUUGUGCAGCUUCACCAGCCACAAGCGCAAUAAGUGCAGGGCCCCCAGAAACAGUGUGGUAAGCGUAAAAUAAAAAGAACUCCCCACGUUCAUGACUAUUUUCAUUGAGACAUCCAAAUGUGUCGAGAUCUUCCCCCCAAAACACAUGUGGAAAAACCAUAGCAACUUUGUUGAGAAGCCCAAAACCCAGCCUCUCAAUCGAUUCAAGCUUUCUUGCAGGUAACUCAGGUUCAAAACUAAUGGCCUUCUUUUUGAGAACUCCAAGAGGCACAGUGCAUAAGGCGAAAUCUGCUUGAAAGAUUUGAUCCCCAGCAAUAACCUCAACACCCUCAUUUCCAUAUCUGAUAGUGUUGACUGUCUUUCCAUAAAAAAUCGGAACUCCUUCACAUAAACCUUUGAUCAAUCUCCAAUUGCCUCCAGCAAGAAAACAAUGAUCACCACCCAUUUCAUAAGGAUCAUCCUGAUCCCAAUAGGCAGCCGAAAGAUUUGAAAGACAUCCAGCAUUUGCAUAUUCUAAAUUCGCAAGAUGCCAAUCAAGCAAUUGCCUCUCAUCAGUACUCUGAGCCACAGCAUAUAAACAUUUGAGUGUCUCCAAGACCGAACCAAGUGAGGUAUCACUCUUAAACCCUCCCAUAAUUUGCCUCAGCUCCAUAACUUUGUCAAGCAACUUAUUGAAUACAAUUUCAAUACUUGAAUCUAUUUCCUUAUCAACCGGUUCCCCAUUCGGCUUGUACAAAGGGCAAUUAACUCUCACUUUAUGAAGUGGAAUUGAAAGCUGUCGUGCCAAAACCCCCAAAGGAUUAGCAUGAAUUCCAGUAAUAACACUCCCACCAAGAUCCAUGGCCGCAAAUAUUCCCUCAUGCCCCAUCUUCUGAGUAUAAACCCUACCACCAGGACGGUUCCUACCUUCCAAAACCACAACCUUAUAACCAAACGACAAAAGCUGCCUCGCUGCAGCCAAGCCAGCAAGGCCAGCACCAAUAACAACCACAGUCCCUUCCGUCGCCUCAGGCAACUGAGAAGUAAACGACGGUGAAACCCCAAAGUUAAUGUACCCAUUAUACAAAAGAAACUCAUAAGCAGAAUUAAUCAAAUGUUCAAACUCAUUGCUAACAGUUUCUCGAAUCUGUCCCUUUGUCAACCACAUCCUAACAUUCCCUCUCCAAAGAGCCAAUAUAUGAUUCCUUACAACAAGAUAAUCAUUCUGCUCUUUUCCACCCAAUUCACUCACAACACCAGCUCGAAUCUCUUGUUCAAGCAAAGCAUCAAUUGGAAAACCAAGCGAAAAGGCAAUCAUAGACUCGGUUCGAGUCUCUUUCUCCAAAUCUUCAGGAGUCUUACUUUUCUUCUUCAAACUAUCCUCCAACUUCUUGUCAUAAAGCUCAUCAUUCAUCAAACCCUCGUCGUAACUACGCAAAUUCACUUUCUUUCUCAGCGAAAUACGCCUUUGAACAGAUCCAUCUGAAGCCAUAGUUUCUUUCUACUGUUUCUCCCUAAUAUAAUAAUAAAUUUAAUAUAAUCCUAUAUUGAAUUCGAAAAUGAAACUAAACCGAAUUUCCAAACCUUAUAAUUAUAAUCCUAUGACUGAAUGCAAAAUAAUAAAAAUUGAACUUGAAAAUUAUAUUACCGCGAGGCUGGUGCCACUAGUCGCAGUUCCGAAUCGUUGUUCUGCGCAGUAAAGAGUAAAAAUAGUUUCAGUAAGCACUGUUCGAGAAACAAAUAGAAAUGAAGUGAGAGAGAGAGAGAGCAUUACAGCGAUAGGGAGGAAACGAUGUUCCCUGAAACUGCGACCGGGGAAACGGCACGAAGACAAUCAGAAUCAAAAUGAAAAUGAGGUGUAACUUUUCGACGAGAGGUUACGUUUAUUUAUUCUGUCUUUUUUUUUUUUUUGUCAAAAUCUAUUUAUUUUGUGAGAACAAACAUGAUGGUCAUGGGCUUAUUGGGCCCAUUCACAAAAAGGAAGUAAGAGAAAUGUACUGUGCACCCCCACAGUUUUACCUGCCACCCCCCAUAAUUUGUUAUUGAUCAAUCUACCAUUUUUUACCUUAUAUAAAAUUUCUCAGUAAAUUUACUACACUCUUUUCUCACCCCCACUUUUGAAAGUUUUCUAAAAAAAUUCUAUUAUUCGAAAGUUUCAAACUUUCGAAACAAUCAGAUGUCAGAUUUCAACAACACUUUCGAACCUUUUGUCAAAAAUCUAAAGAUUCGAAAUGCAAUUUUUCCAGAAAACACAAAACAUUCGAAACUUUGGUUAAGUAUGAAAGAUUCGAAGCAUUAAUUUGAUGAAACCUUCGAAACUUUGGUUAAAUCUGAAACUUUCGAAGCUUUUGUUUGAUGAAACCUUCGAAGCUUUGGUUCAAUUCGAAACUUUCGAAACCCAAAAAGUUCGAAACUUUGGUUGAAGCUGAAAGUUCUGAAACCUAGUUUUCCAGAAAUUUCGAAAGUUUACAUCAAUGUGAAAGUUUCGAAACUUUCAAUUUCUUUUUUUAAAAUUUAUCAUUAUUUAUAUAUAUUAUUAUUUAUAUUUAUUAUUAUUUAUAUUUAUUACUAUUUUCGAAAACAGGUAUGAGUAGAGUUGAGGUUCCUGCCUCAAGAAAUAUAAUAGAUUCUACGGACAAAUUCAUUACCGAUC